rnacentral:ncRNA from 1 species
CAACCUCAACUCAUAUGGGACUACCCCCUGAAUUUAAGCAUAUUAAUUAGGGGAGGAAAAGAAACUAACAAGGAUUUUCUUAGUAGCGGCGAGCGAAAAGAAAUCAGUUCAGCACUAAGUCACUUUGUCUAUAUGGCAAAUGUGAGAUGCAGUGUAUGGAGCGUCAAUAUUCUAGUAUGAGAAAUUAACGAUUUAAGUCCUUCUUAAAUGAGGCCAUUUACCCAUAGAGGGUGCCAGGCCCGUAUAACGUUAAUGAUUACUAGAUGAUGUUUCCAAAGAGUCGUGUUGCUUGAUAGUGCAGCACUAAGUGGGUGGUAAACUCCAUCUAAAACUAAAUAUAACCAUGAGACCGAUAGUAAACAAGUACCGUGAGGGAAAGUUGAAAAGAACUCUGAAUAGAGAGUUAAAUAGUACGUGAAACUGCUUAGAGGUUAAGCCCGAUGAACCUGAAUAUCCGUUAUGGAAAAUUCAUCAUUAAAGUUAUAAUAUUUAAACAAUAUUAUACAAAUAAUGUGCAUUUUUUCCAUAUAAGGACAUUGUAAUCUAUUAACAUAUUAAAUUUAUCAUAAAAUAUGGCUUAUAGUUUAUUCAAAUUAUUAUGCUUGCAUUUUAACAUAGAAUAAAUGUCAUUAAUUUGAUAAAGUGUUGAUAGACUAAUAAGAAUACAGUGCGUUAAUUUUUCGGAAUUAUAUAAUGGCAUAAUUAUCAUUGAUUUUUGUGUUUAUUAUAGAAU